rnacentral:rRNA from 1 species
AGUGAACGCUGGCGGUAGGCCUAACACAUGCAAGUCGAACGGCAGCACAGAGGAGCUUGCUCCUUGGGUGGCGAGUGGCGGACGGGUGAGGAAUACAUCGGAAUCUACUCUGUCGUGGGGGAUAACGUAGGGAAACUUACGCUAAUACCGCAUACGACCUACGGGUGAAAGCAGGGGCUCUUCGGACCUUGCGCGAUUGAAUGAGCCGAUGUCGGAUUAGCUAGUUGGCGGGGUAAAGGCCCACCAAGGCGACGAGCCGUAGGUGGUCUGAGAGGAUGACCAGCCAGACUGGAAUGGAGACACGGUCCAGACUCCUACGGGAGGCAGCAGUGGGGAAUAUUGGACAAUGGGCGCAAGCCUGAUCCAGCCAUACCGCGUGGGUGAAGAAGGCCUUCGGGUUGUAAAGCCCUUUUGUUGGGAAAGAAAUCCAUCUGGUUAAUACCCGGGUGGGAUGACGGUACCCAAAGAAUAAGCACCGGCUAACUUCGUGCCAGCAGCCGCCGUAA